rnacentral:lncRNA from 1 species
GCCAGAUGCGUGAAGCCAGCACAGACUUCACCAGACUGCACCUGCGCUCUUCAGCGCGCCUGCGCUGCAGCAUACUCCUCGCCAAAACCUCUCUCCGGUAUCCCUCGUUGAGCUCCAGAGUUUGCCAUUCGGGCUCUGGCACUCCCCGCUGCUCCGCCGACCGCUCCAUGUGCCCCCCCCAAAAACAAUCUUGGGGUUUCUGUGGCCUCGGUCCCCGGCGCCGUCGCUGUCCCCCUAUGCUCCUUGGCGACUCCCGCCAAGGAAGGGUCUCGUGUCCUCUCAUGUCCUCCCAAGUUCAAAACUCCUUUAUCUCAUUUACGCUGCUUGGUCCUGCGUGGGUGGGAUAUUCUGUCAUGUGUCUGUGUGCAGCGGGUAGGACGGAGUCAGGCGCAGGACACAGAACUGAGUAAAAACGUACAGGGAAUUACAAUCCAGCUCUACACAAAAGAGCGAACACUUAACCUAGAACAUGAAGUUGUAGUGCCCACACACACUAACUCAAACAAACAAUAUCCCACAAACACAGGUGGGAAAAACGGCUACCUAAAUAUGAUCCCCAAUUAGAGGCAACGAUUACCAGCUGCCUCUAAUUGGGAACCAUACAAAACACCAACAUAGAAAUAUAAACAUAGAAAUAUAAACUAGAACACCCCCUAGUCACACCCUGACCUACCUUGGUUCUCUAUGGUCAGGGCGUGACACCUCUGUACGCCUAUGUAGAUAUUCCAUUAACAAUCUGCCGUUUCCAGCUACAAUAGUCAUUUACAACAUUAACAAUGUCUACACUGUAUUUCUGAUAAAUUUUAUGAUAUUUUAUUAGACAUAAAAAGUGCUUUUCUUUCAAUACAAGGACAUUUCUAAGUGACCCCAAACUUUUGAACGGAAGUGUAUAUGGUAUGAAUUUAACUUAAUUUUUAAAGUGUGUGUGUUUAUGCCUGGAUGCUGUUUUAGUGUUUGCCUCAACCAUCCCUUCCACUGUGUUGCAACCAACUUUUUAAAACUACAGAAUGUGUGUGUUGCUACAGAAAAUGUAUGCGUGACAGCAUUUGAAUUGGUUUGCAAAGAUAAAGCACACAGGCUUGGCAUGUGAUGCUGAAGAACGUCCACCAGCUGAGAACACCUUGCACAUUGUCUUUGUAUUCUUACCAGUGAUACAAUAUAUUUAAUGUAUUUGUAUUUCUAUGUAGGACAUUUAUGACAUUUUGUAAAAAUC